CCAGACUCCUACGGGAGGCAGCAGUGGGGAAUAUUGCACAAUGGGGGAAACCCUGAUGCAGCGACGCCGCGUGAAGGAAGAAGUAUUUCGGUAUGUAAACUUCUAUCAGCAGGGAAGAAAAUGACGGUACCUGACUAAGAAGCCCCGGCUAACUACGUGCCAGCAGCCGCGGUAAUACGUAGGGGGCAAGCGUUAUCCGGAUUUACUGGGUGUAAAGGGAGCGUAGGCGGUUUAGCAAGUCAGAAGUGAAAGCCCGGGGCUCAACUCCGGGACUGCUCUUGGAACUGCGUGGCUGGAGUGCAGGAGGGGCAGGCGGAAUUCCUGGUGUAGCGGUGAAAUGCGUAGAUAUCAGGAGGAACACCGGUGGCGAAGGCGGCCUGCUGGACUGCAACUGACGUUGAGGCCCGAAAGCGUGGGGAGCAAACAGGAUUAGAUACCCCUGUAGCC
rnacentral:rRNA from 1 species